GGUUGCUUGGCUGAGUGGUUAAGGCGUGCGGGUGCUAACGAAGUGCGAGAGUUCGAAUCUCACAAUCG
rnacentral:tRNA from 1 species